UACGAAGGGGGCUAGCGUUGUUCGGAAUUACUGGGCGUAAAGCGCAUGUAGGCGGUUCGUAAAGUCAGAUGUGAAAGCCCUGGGCUUAACCCAGGAAGUGCAUUUGAAACUCACGAACUUGAGUCCCGGAGAGGAAGGCGGAAUUCUCGGUGUAGAGGUGAAAUGCGUAGAUAUCUGGAGGAAUACCGGGUGGCGAAGGCGGCAUCCUGGACCAUUACUGACGCUGAGGCGCGAAAGCUAGGGGAGCAAACGGGG
rnacentral:rRNA from 1 species